GCAUGAUGAACACCUGAGAGUAGUGCUACAGACACUAAGGGAAAAGCAGUUGUAUGCCAAGUUGUCCAAGUGUGACUUCUGGAUGAGUGAAAUCUCUUUCCUUGGACACAUAGUAUCAGCUGAGGGGAUUAGAGUGGAUCCCAAAAAGAUAGAAGCAGUGAUGGAGUGGAAGCCUCCCAGAAAUACAACUAAUGUCAAAAGUUUCUUGGGGCUAGCUGGGUAUUAUAGAAGAUUUGUGAAGGGAUUUUCUCUAACAGCUGCUCCAAUGACCAA
rnacentral:misc_RNA from 1 species